CGCGGGGUAGAGCAGUUUGGUAGCUCGUCGGGCUCAUAAUCCGAAGGUCGUAGGUUCGAAUCCUUCCCCCGCCACCA
rnacentral:tRNA from 1 species